UAAUUUAACAAUAUGAGGAUUGGAUUGGGGAUGAUGAUGCCAUGACGAUCCUGUGAGACUUUACACCGCCGGUGGAUCACAGCCACCAGACGACGACGACGGAGCUGCUGAUCGGAGAAGUCUAUUCACAAAUUCUAAUCUGUGUUCCAUACUCGUCGAUUCAGUUCGAUUGCUAUCAAGAACAACUAUUUAAUUAAAGACGAUAAAUCGAACCAAAGCUCCCUGUCUUUGAAGAAAACUCGUCCUCCUCGAGUUUUGUCUCCGGGCCAAAGCCACCUGGAUCAAAAGGAACAUCAAUCCGAUUCUGAUUUAUCAUCACCGCCCUUCUAUACUAAUACAGUUCAACAUCACGGUUCUCGUGCAAGUUAAGGACGGCUUAGACGUUUUUGCUUUGCUUUGUUAAAGUAAGAUACGCGUAGGCGAUUGAUCAGACCCAUGGCUCAAGGACAAGCCCAGGCGCGAUCCAGGGCCACAAACAAGAUCGCUCUAGCAUCCCUAUCAGCAAUGGUAGCAGAAACCACCACUUUCCCCAUCGACAUCACCAAAACCAGGCUUCAAUUACACGCAACUGCUCGCCCAGUCUCCGCAUUUCAGGUCGCCACCGACAUUAUUCGCAAACAAGGUGUAACAGGACUCUACAAGGGCCUGUCACCCGCCCUUCUUAGACACCUUUUCUACACACCCAUUCGAACCGUUGGUUACGAGCAAUUGCGUCAUGCUUUCAUUUCUCAUGAUAAUCAUUCUCUUUCUCUACCGAGCAAGGCCCUCAUUGGAGGGAUUUCUGGCGUUAUUGCUCAGGCGCACUGAAAAUGGCUUGAGGCGCGCGUCUCUUGUACGUUGCGAGUUUUUGUGCAUCACGAUGCUGUAGAGCAGGCUUUUUAGGGCGUACAUGUAGUGCAGGUAGUGGCUAGCCCUGCGGAUCUGGUUAAAGUCAGGAUGCAAGCGGACGGCCGUAUGGUUAGCCAAGGGCUCAAGCCACGGUACACCGGGUCACUUGACGCUCUAACCAAAAUCAUCAACGCCGAAGGAUUUAAAGGACUUUGGAGGGGUGUUUUUCCCAAUAUUCAAAGAGCAUUUUUAGUAAACAUGGGAGAAUUAGCCUGCUAUGAUCAUGCAAAACAUUUUGUUAUUCAUAAUCAAAUUGCUAGCGAUAACAUCUACGCGCACACGUUAGCCGCUAUGAUGUCGGGCCUUACGGCUACAACCAUAAGUUGCCCGGCUGAUGUGGUGAAGACAAGAAUGAUGAACCAGGUGGUUAAUGAAGAUGGCAGUUAUAAAUAUAGAAAUUCUUAUGAUUGUUUGAUAAAGACUGUUAGAUUUGAAGGGUUAAGAGCAUUGUGGAAAGGGUUUUUUCCUACUUGGGCUAGGCUUGGGCCUUGGCAAUUUGUGUUUUGGGUUUCUUAUGAAAAAUUCAGGUUGAUUGCUGGGCUUCCUUCUUUUUAACAUAGCGCAUACGGGCUUUCGGGCUGAAGUUUGGUUAAGAUAAGGAUUGGUUUUGAGCCGGCCUGAUUGGACCGGUUACCAAGGCUAUUCUUUUUACAAAUUUUUGGAUGUUUGUAAGGAGUGACAAAUAUAUUUCAUAAAGUUGUAUGUUUUAAGGGUAUGAAUCAGUUUUCACAGUUACCUAACCAACCCAUUGUAUUUAUUUAUUACUAUUAUUAUUUUUUUA